GACGAACGCUUGCGGCGUGCUUAACACAUGCAAGUCGAACGGAAAGGCCCUGCUUUUGUGGGGUGCUCGAGUGGCGAACGGGUGAGUAACACGUGAGUAACCUGCCCUUGACUUUGGGAUAACUUCAGGAAACUGGGGCUAAUACCGGAUAGGAGCUCCUGCUGCAUGGUGGGGGUUGGAAAGUUUCGGCGGUUGGGGAUGGACUCGCGGCUUAUCAGCUUGUUGGUGGGGUAGUGGCUUACCAAGGCUUUGACGGGUAGCCGGCCUGAGAGGGUGACCGGCCACAUUGGGACUGAGAUACGGCCCAGACUCCUACGGGAGGCAGCAGUGGGGAAUAUUGCACAAUGGGCGGAAGCCUGAUGCAGCAACGCCGCGUGCGGGAUGACGGCCUUCGGGUUGUAAACCGCUUUCGCCUGUGACGAAGCGUGAGUGACGGUAAUGGGUAAAGAAGCACCGGCUAACUACGUGCCAGCAGCCGCGGUGAUACGUAGGGUGCGAGCGUUGUCCGGAUUUAUUGGGCGUAAAGGGCUCGUAGGUGGUUGAUCGCGUCGGAAGUGUAAUCUUGGGGCUUAACCCUGAGCGUGCUUUCGAUACGGGUUGACUUGAGGAAGGUAGGGGAGAAUGGAAUUCCUGGUGGAGCGGUGGAAUGCGCAGAUAUCAGGAGGAACACCAGUGGCGAAGGCGGUUCUCUGGGCCUUUCCUGACGCUGAGGAGCGAAAGCGUGGGGAGCGAACAGGCUUAGAUACCCUGGUAGUCCACGCUGUAAACGGUGGGUACUAGGUGUGGGGUCCAUUCCACGGGUUCCGUGCCGUAGCUAGCGCUUUAAGUACCCCGCCUGGGGAGUACGGCCGCAAGGCUAAAACUCAAAGGAAUUGACGGGGCCCCGCACAAGCGGCGGAGCAUGCGGAUUAAUUCGAUGCAACGCGUAGAACCUUACCUGGGUUUGACAUGGAUCGGGAGUGCUCAGAGAUGGGUGUGCCUCUUUUGGGGUCGGUUCACAGGUGGUGCAUGGCUGUCGUCAGCUCGUGUCGUGAGAUGUUGGGUUAAGUCCCGCAACGAGCGCAACCCUUGUUCACUGUUGCCAGCACGUUAUGGUGGGGACUCAGUGGAGACCGCCGGGGUCAACUCGGAGGAAGGUGGGGAUGACGUCAAGUCAUCAUGCCCCUUAUGUCCAGGGCUUCACGCAUGCUACAAUGGCUGGUACAGAGAGUGGCGAGCCUGUGAGGGUGAGCGAAUCUCGGAAAGCCGGUCUCAGUUCGGAUUGGGGUCUGCAACUCGACCUCAUGAAGUCGGAGUCGCUAGUAAUCGCAGAUCAGCAACGCUGCGGUGAAUACGUUCCCGGGGCU
rnacentral:rRNA from 1 species